AUUGAACGCUGGCGGCAGGCCUAACACAUGCAAGUCGAGCGGAUGAAGGGAGCUUGCUCCUGGAUUCAGCGGCGGACGGGUGAGUAAUCCCUAGGAAUCUGCCUGGUAGUGGGGGAUAACGUCCGGAAACGGGCGCUAAUACCGCAUACGUCCUGAGGGAGAAAGUGGGGGAUCUUCGGACCUCACGCUAUCAGAUGAGCCUAGGUCGGAUUAGCUAGUUGGUGGGGUAAAGGCCUACCAAGGCGACGAUCCGUAACUGGUCUGAGAGGAUGAUCAGUCACACUGGAACUGAGACACGGUCCAGACUCCUACGGGAGGCAGCAGUGGGGAAUAUUGGACAAUGGGCGAAAGCCUGAUCCAGCCAUGCCGCGUGUGUGAAGAAGGUCUUCGGAUUGUAAAGCACUUUAAGUUGGGAGGAAGAGCAGUAAGUUAAUACCUUGCUGUUUUGACGUUACCAACAGAAUAAGCACCGGCUAACUUCGUG
rnacentral:rRNA from 1 species